GCUAAUCUAUCGCUGCUAAUCUAUCGCUGCUAAUCUAUCGCCGCCAACCUACCUACCGCUGCCAACCUACCUACCGCUGCCAACCUAUCUAUCGCUGCCAACCUAUAUAGGGUAAAUCAUGGUCCCAUUUGGUCCCAUUUUGUAAAAUGGGACCAAAUGGGACCAGGAUCACUAAUUUAUUAGUAAAACAUGAUCUGGGACUAGAUUUAUAAUAUAAACAGUGUAAAGUGACUAAUUUGCUAAACACUAUAUGGGACCAGGACUAAGAUAUCUAAUAAUGGGACUGAGGAAAAAUUUGGUCCCAGUCCCAUGCAUGGUCACACGGCCAGUCUAGCUACAAGG
rnacentral:sRNA from 2 species